rnacentral:misc_RNA from 1 species
AACACUGUUAACCUGCGGUACCUGCGGAGGGAUCAUUAGUGAACGCCCUCGCGGGCUUAUAACUAUUCCAAACCUCUGUGAACCGUGCCCUUCGGGGCUAUUUUACAAACAUGGUGUAAUGAACGUCAUAUAUCAUAACAAAACAAAACUUUUAGCAAUGGAUCU